ACACGCACACACACACACACACACACACAUGACACCAACCCCAUUAGACCCUAAUUACACACACACAGUAAAUGGACCUUAUAUUAAAUAAAGUUGUGGUACAAUCAGGAUUUAGGUGUUUUGAAUAAGUCACUCUUGUCCUAGACCUUAAGGAGCAGAAGAAUAUCUAUGAAUAGAAGGAUCAUUAUUAUUUUGUUUACACAUGAACUAGAUUUCAUGAUAAAGUCAUAGCAAGUAAACACAUACUAUUUUUCUAUUUUUCCUAUAAAAAAGUUUUUUUCUGGAGUGGUGAGGCAGGUGGUUACUGAAUUAUCCUUCAUAUGUAUAGCCUUGAAAAGAAAAAGAAAAAUUACAACAGUUUCAAUAAAAUUAUAAUACUUUUCAUAUAUUUUGCUAAUGAGAAACUUUACAAUGUCUUGGACUCUGGGACAUGGUUACAGAAUGCUUGAACAGAAGGCCGAGGUCUGUAUUAGUGGACUACUGGGUCAGAGAGGGCACUUUGAAAACUUCUCUCCAUUUGCCACCUACUCUCCGUCUUCAGCCAUUGAGAUUCCAGUCCUGCCUCUCGGCUCCGACCCGGUGUGGUUGCCAUGACAACCAGCAAAUUGGUUAGCGGGGUGAGUAAUGAUGUGAUGUGGUGGAGCUGGAAGCGCCCAACAAAGGACUUAUUACAGGCAGCCUACCAACACUUCCUGUCCAACACUUCCUGUCCAACACUUCCUGCCCUCAUGGGCAAGCACAGAUAGAGAGCAAGAGGAGGAAGAGAGAGGAGGAGAGAGGGGAAGAGAGAGAAAAGAAAGCGAGGGAAGAAGAGAAGAGAGCGAAAGAGUAAGAGAGAAAGAGGGAGGAAGAGAGAAAAGGAGAAAAGGUGGGGGCGAGACGAGGCCCCUCUGCUACUCCUCACCGCACUUCUUCACGCUCUCAUCAUCUUAUCACUGUUAACCUGGUUCCCUUUCACAGAGCCUCGCUGCAGGGGGCCGAUGGUAAUCCGUGCUGCAAACGUCCAAGCCACUCGUGAGAGAGGGAGCGGGACCCUGUGGGAAUGGUACUGAGGGACGUGCCUGUUAUCGUCUUCUUGCACCUGGGCCGGGUCAGUUCACCAGCGUGGUCAGAGCAGUCAGCCCGCAGCGUCUGGCCGGGCUCAACCGAAGGGAGGCCCUGCACCCACCCUCGUCAUCAUGGGAACCGGUGCAUCAGGAGGAAUUUGCAUGUGUGGCUCAGGCUUUGUCUCCCGGUUCACGGGGUGGAAUUGGCAGCGCUUUGAAACCUGUGGAAGCGAGGCAGGUUUUUAGGCUCCCAGAAGCAGAUGAAGUGUGAGAAGUCUCCUCGUGGCAGGACACCUGUUCUGUCCCGGGCGCUGGUCGAUCUCGCUGGCUACUGUCUUGCCUUUCUGAAGAGGAUCCAGCUGUCGAUAUACGGACCACCGCUUCCAUUCACUGGACCUUGCCAAUCCAGCCAUUUCAUGAUUCAUGUCCUGUGUCUGAAUUCAAUGAAAUAAGGGCUGCUCAUGAGUUAAGAAGCAGAGAAGGGAGGCUGCACCACUUGGGACACGUUGUGAACAUGGGUUUGGUUUGGAAGAGGGAGCUGGAAUCCUGAGAAAUCCCACAAUCAGGAGUGCAAACGUGUAUGAUCAGCUCAGUCGCUCACAGGCAUGUGUAUGAUCAGUAGUUCAGUAGUGUACAGACGUGUGUAUGAUCAGUAGUUCAAUACUACAAAGACAAGCGCAUGAUCAGUAGUUCGGUAGUGUACAGACAUGCGUAUGAUCAGUAGUUCAGUAGUGUACAGACGUGUGUAUGAUCAGUAGUUCAAUACUACAAAGACAUGCGUAUGAUCAGUAGUUCAGUAGUGUACAGACGUGUGUAUGAUCAGUAGUUCAAUACUACAAAGACAUGCGCAUGAUCAGUA